UUUGUUUGUGUACUGUUUUCUUGGUCUGUUGUGACUUAGUUAACAUCUCUUCCAGUUUCACAGGUUAAAGACUUUUUGAAGUAAAGAGGAGCAUCUCAUCUGAACCUGAUGUCCAUCAUGGAUAUUUAACUGCAGUUCUGUGAGUAUCCCAACUUAACCAUGAAGCAUAACUGCAAACUGUAAGUCAUUAAUUUCUCAUUACUCUUGGGCACAUUGAUGUAUUUUGGCUUCCUGGUGAGUUAACCUGUUACCUGAAGGUUGAUCUGAGUAGUUGGGAUGUUUUAUUGGUUCAUGGGUUACUUAGGUGUUUGGUUUAUGUUGGUUUUAAUGAUUUGUUAAAAUGGUUACAGGCUCCAAGUUAUUGUUGUAAGCUGGAGUAAUGGGUUGGGUUCUGAUAUCUUCAGUCUUCUUUCAUUCUACUCUCCUGAGCUCUGUGUGUUAAUUUAUUGAUGAGGGUGUGGUCUGAGGGAGCAGAGGUGCAUACUGGGGUACAGAGCUGUCUCGAGUCUACAGGUCUGUAGACACGCCCCCUCAGGGGAAACGGAGUGUUUGAGAAACUGUUGUGUCGUCAGUUACAUGGACUGGAAUGUUCUUAAAGGGGACCUAUUAUGCUUUUUGGAAUGCAUGUAUGUCAUUAUUUGACACUUUAGUAUGGUUAAACAUGACUAUCAAUAAUUAUAACAACGUUUGUAGGUCUAAAAAGGAUAAUAGGUCCCCUUUAAAGAUGGAGAGAGGGAUUCAGAAGGAGAAACACCAGGGGGAGAUGAGGGGGCUCCUCAUCUCAACGACUAAAACGCAAUUUCAGUCUGACACAGAGAACCAUGGAAUACAUUCAACAGUCCCCUCCAGGCAUCGUGACUCCUCAGGAACAGUUUCCAAGGAGGUCUUAUUUGGGGCCAUCCCCAUAUGGAUCCUGCUCCUCAAGAGCCACCCCCCUCCACUGGUUGGUCUUCUGAACAGAUGACCUCCUUCCUGUCCUCAGGCUGACUAAAGCUGCACCGUUUGCAUCUGUGAAGACCCCUCAUUCAGGAAACCACUGGACUACAAAGACAUGACUUCAGAGAUGUUGAAUCAACCUGGGACACCAAGCAUAAUCCAUCACCAAUGUGGGACGCCACUGAAGAAUGUUGUACAUAAUUUACGUCUCUGGAGACAUUGGUUGUUCUGUUAAGGGUGCCCUGGCAGGAGAGCUCGGGGGGGGGGGUGAUGGAAUGUUAUUUGGCAUGAGGUUUUUACCCUGCAUGAUUGUUUGGCCUUUUAUGGCUCAGUUGUGUGUGUGUGUGUGUGUGUCUCCCACUCACACCUGGCAUGGGGUUCUACGUGCCUGUCCUGGGUUCUAUGUGUGUGUGUCCGGCUUGCUUUGACAGUGAUAAUGUUCAUACGGGGGUCUGUGUGAUUGGCUUGGGGUAUUGGAAUGGUAAACAAAAUCAUACCUGAUGGACGGCCUCACGUUUACUUAAGGGCCUCAAGUAGACAUGAAGAGCCCUGAGCGACACUCCGGAGUGAGAUCCAACACACUGGGCAGGAAGGAGAGUACCCAACUCAAGUGACUUCAAACUAGGACUACACCAAUCAGGAUCAAUGGAGGAUGGACACCAAUCCGGAUCAAUGGAGGAUGGACACCAAAAGGAAUUCCACAAGGAGUCUGACGUUGGAAAGGGACCUAAAUGGAUAUUCAAGAUGACCUUCAGACCUGUAAUGAGACGGCUCUUCCUAUCUGGCUGGAUUGAUGGAGAGCCCUGUGGAUCUUGUCUUGCUCUCAGUUGCACGUCUUCUCAGGCUGAACUGUAUUUGUUUCGGACAGGACUAGCUGAACGAUUGGUUCCCUUAAAUCACAACCAAUCCGGGCACUCCAGCUAGUUCGCUCUUCGAGCUGAAGUGUUGCUCUUCAGUUGAGGAGGUAAGGGAACCUUCACUGGGGCUUCAAGAUGUUCAAAGUGUUCCAUGGUACUCUGAUGAAGACCGUUGUUGUGUUCAACUGGCUGAGAGGAAGAACCCACACAUCUUCCUCUUGGCCUUUCUCCUCUGAGAAUCCUGGUGCCAUCUUGAAGGAUAUUCCAUUUCAUGUAACUGAUGUCACGACAGAUUCUCAAACACUUGGUUUCUCCUGAGGGGUGUUUCUAUAGAACUGAAGACUUCAGACAGCACUGUAUCCCAGCAUGCAUCUCUGCUCACUCAGAACACACCCCCAUGAGUAGGAUGCAACACUCUAGUGAUGGCGAUGUAGAGUUUUAUAAGUAACGAGGGAGCAGACUAGGGGGAUUGGAACACAAUGGUGUGUCAAGUCUGUAAAUCUUUAAACCAUGAAGAUGGUUGGAUAGUUCAGGAAUUGGGCUUUUUAAUAUGGGCAGUCCUUUCACUCAGAUGCUCACUUCUCACUAGAGCUGUACAUGUGUUGGCUGGCUGGCAUGAUUUGCUGUUGGUGAUGAGGCUCUCUGUGAGCUCAACGUUUAGAUUUGCUCUGUAUGGUUUGUACCCUGAAUAAUCUAGAUAAUUGUAAAAUGUAGACGUGGUUUUGUAUUGAAUGAUUCCAGGAUUUUAGAUUUAAAGUUGUUGUACAUGGUAGUUUGGUUCUUCGUAUGGUUUUGAGUGAUAUAACUUGUACACACUGGGUGCAUAAUAAUGUAAAGGUACACUGAAUAGUAGUAAUGACCAACAGCAACAAACAGAUCUCCUCAAGGUAAGUCUGUUGGCUGUGUUUUAAUGAAGACCAUCGCUGGACUUCAGGAUCUUCCUCCGUUCAGCUCAAGGUGAGGCGCUGGUUCAGUUUAUUCUUUGGUUGGUUCCGGCCGGAAUGUUCAGAUUCCAGUCGGACGGUUUGUGCUUCCCGCCGUGGAAGGUUCUGAGUGCGGUCACUUGAUUUAGUCCCAAUGGUUGGCAUAGAACGUUGUAGUCUUGACAACCAUAAGAAACCACCUGGCAGUUAGUUGGACGGGAGUCCCCUAAGGGAAUCUGGCGGAACGUUUUGGAUUGUAUUUGCGUAACCUCGAGCCGUUGCCAACGGAAACUAUUUUUCAGUCGGUUCCCAUUGGGAAUUGUUUCCCCUAUCUUAAACAACUUAAGUUUGAUAUUGAAUACAUACUGACACGUACGUCGUACAAUAUGUUGAUAAUUUCCGAUGGUUGCGCCGUACUUUUAACCACGUUGACGGGACUCUCGCUGCGUACAGAACGGCGUUCUACUUGCGGCCCCAUUUUUGACAUCAGUGAAGGCUGAAAAAUAAUUUCAAGGUGGAAGACAAUUUGACAUUUCUUCAAAGGAACCCAGCACCUGAAUAUGGCAUGGUAAAUUUGAUUUAAUAUCGAUACUGCUUAGUGUUCUUUGUUACUUCAGCUUUUGUACGUUCUAAGUAUCUGCUGUUAAUUGCCACAGAAGUUAAACCCUACCCAAUAGAAUGACGUUAAACAACGACUUUGGUGCAGAGUUAGCAACUGGAUAAUAUCAAAGCUAAAAUAAUGGCCGUCAUUCCCACAUGUUACAGAUACUCUAGAACUGUACAAGGUUAAAAAGGUAACAUGUAGUUUGUCCCAAGGUGUCUGCCUCCUCACCCAGAGCAAGAGCUCCACCUCCUCACCCAGAGCCAGACCUCCACCUCCUGUCAGAAGUCCUCCAGAACAGCUGAAAGGCGAGGCUGAGAGGCUGGGGACCGGAGGCUUGUGGUGCCAGGAUGGACCGGAGACUGAGGCUGGAGACCAGGGGCCUGCAGCACCGGACCAGAGGGUAACCAUCACCCAGCUCAUCCGAAACACUAAAAUCCACGUGAAUCUCGGAUGUAGGAGGUGGGGUGCGUCGCGUCCCUUGGCUGGUGGAGGAUUUGGUGGAGGGCCUGCCUGGUGAAUGACGUCUGUCGUGGGACCAGGACUCUGUCUGAGGAGAGCUGCUGGAGGAGCUGAGACGCUGGAGGACGACUAGGAAUCGACUAACAAGGAUUCCUUAACGUGUUUCUGGAGCGGAGGCGAGCUGGUAGGGGAGCCGUGAAUCUGGAGGAUGACCAGCGCUCUACCAACAAGGGUUGUAAGUUUGUAUUAACCAAACACACUGGAAAUAAAGGGCUUAAAAAUAAGGCAAACUACAUGUUUGUUACCAGACUUUAGGGCCGGACUCGCGCCGUUUGUUCCAGACCAGGACUCUGGCUGAGGAGAGCUGAUGGAGGAGCCAGGACUCUGGAGGACGACCUUACUCCACCAACCAGGAUCCUCACCAGGAAUCUGGAGGACUGAUGGAGAAGCCAUACAUCUGGAAGGCAAAUCCUGAGGACCACCAGGACUCUACCAUCAAGGAUUCCUCAUAAUUGUGCAUUAUCUGGACAUAGUGGACUAGACACACCUCAGCUAAACCCGCCCUGAUCCUGACAUCCUGCUGGUCCCGUCCCCUCAGUUCAUCUGAGCCUCGUCCUCCAGAAGACCUGCUGAGCUCAGCAGUCUGAGGCUGAUGGAUCAAUGACCUCCAGUGGGAGUGAUCUUCUUGACCCCAAAUGUAACCGUGUGCUUCCACACGCCUUUCCCUCACGUCUGUCACUAACCUCACUACUUCACUACUGCUUCCACUUUUCUUCCUACUCUGUGGUUCAAACCUUUACACGGAAGGCGCGUCUUCCUGCCCUCAGAGGGUUCAGCGUUAGGGUUGAGUCAGGGUUUAGAGUCAGGGACAGAGCUGGUCAGGGAGGACUGCUUUUACACAAACCUCUUCACUUGCUUUCGGAAUGGUGGUGACAUUUUGAAAGGAUUCAUUUGGGGAAAAUGUUUUCCUCUGCUUUCCUUUACAAAUUGUAUUAAAUUUCUGUCAAGUGUUUUUGUUUAUAUAUUAAAA